CCGAAWAAUGGCGACGCGAAAGAGAAAUCGAGUAGGGCCCUGGGGAGAGUACACGCGCAAGCGAGAAAUUUAAAGGAAAUUGACGGAAGAACACCACAAGGAGUGGAGUGUGCGGCUUAAUUUGACUCAACGCGGGACAACUUACCGGGCCCGACGACCGUAAGAGUGUGACACACGAUAGGUCGAAGAGUGGUGCAUGGCCGUUAACGACGAGUGGAGUGAUCUUUGGGUUAAGUCCGUAAAUUAGUGAGACCUCAGCCGUAAGGGACAGGUGCGCAAAGCACAGGAAGGAUGGGUCAAGGACAGGUCAGUGAUGCCCUUAGAUGGUCCGGGCUGCACGCGCACUACAGUGGUCGCCGAAAUUAGCUGAUAAUUUUAAAGGCGAUCGAGAGGGAAUGAGCUUUGUAAGAGGCUCAGGAACGAGGAAUUGCUAGUAAUCGCGGACUCAUUAAGACGCGAUGAAUACGUCCCUGUUCUUUGUACACACCGCCCGUCGUUAUCGAAGAUGAAGACAGGCGCGAACGAUCUACCAGAAAGUGAGCGCAGGUCUUUAGAUCUGAUACAAGUCGUAACAAGGUAGCUGUAGGUGAACCUGUNGCUGG
rnacentral:rRNA from 1 species